AUGUUGCUUAUUAGCAUAUACACAUUUUGGGAGCCUCCCCCAGGCCUCGCCUUCUUCCCUCUUUACUCCAUUCCCUAACUCCUGCCUCGUAGGCAGCGGUGGGGAGCCGCAGGCUGCUCCCCGAGUCCCAACGCUACUAGGGUGCUGUAACAGUGAUGAGGCGGCGUUGCAGUCUGGCUAGGCGCUGCAGCGGGCACCAGCUACGUGUAUUUGACUAAGCAUUAACCAUUCCAGCUAAGAGAUCAGUGUUUGUCAUUCAAAAUAGCUGAGGUGGUUGGGAGAGGACAGCCAGUAUUCCCCAAAAGAGGUUUAUUAGUUUCCUAGGCUGCUGUCACAAAUUGACACAGACUUAGUGACUUAAAACAACAGAAAUGUGUUUGUGUCA
rnacentral:lncRNA from 1 species